AUGCAGGGCGGGGCGGGUCACGUGAAGAGGCGCGGUUUUGUUUCUGCGCAUGCGCAGCGCGGCCGAGAGGCGGGUGGGUGGGGCCGCGCAUGCGCGGCGGGUCUCUGCGCACGGCGCGGAGGUUUGGCGCAUGCGCAGUGGCUGCGCGCCGCCGCCCCGCCCCACCCCCGGCCGCAGUCGUUGAGUGGCCGCCGUCGCGGACGGACGCUCCGCGCUGAGGCUCCGACGCCGCCGCCAUGGCCGACCCUGCCGCUCAAUCCCCGUUCGUCUCCUCCUCCUCGGCUCCUUCCGAGCCAACCGGGUCGGCCUGCAGGAGGCACGGAACCCCGGCUUGUGCCGCACCCCAUAGGAGCAGCACCCCAUAGGAGCAGCACCCCCACCGUUGUGGCACAUCACAGAAUCACAGAAUGCUCUCUGUCUUUCCUGUAUUGGAACCCCCAGCCCUGCACACAGCACUCCAGAUGUGGCCUCACAUCUGAGCAGAAUAGAGAGGGCGAAAAAUCACCUCCCUGUCCCUGCUGGCCACCCCCUCUGCUGAUGAUGGAGCCCAGGAUGGAUUCCUAUUUGCUUUCCCAGCUGUAAUCACACGCUGUUGGUUCACGUUAAGCUUACAUCACACCUCGAGCCCCAUAAGAACAGCAUCCCAGAGGUUAAAAAAUAUAUACAAAAAAACAACAAAAAAAACCCCAGUUUGGUCAAAGCUGGAUGUCACCUGGAGGAAGUUGUAAGUUUUGUGCUGAGCAGCAGUUUGAGGUGAAAAACCACUGCUUUGAGACACUCCAAAAAAGGGAAACUGGAAGAAACGAGAUGUCGUGCCCCGUAAUGUUUUUGGGGUACAAAGAAAGCAGUGCUUGCAGGUUUUUGUCGUCAUCCUCGUUAGCAGUCAUUAACGAAGGCUGGGAAACCUGCUCUGUGUGGGUGGGAGGAGGGAAUGGGCACUGAGCCCCGACGUGGCUGCAGGGAGGAGGAAGAUUUUGGGGCCGGUGCUGCAACUCCAUUUGGGACUGAAGCCAGAAAUGGGGGCUGAGGAAGAGGAGAGAAUGGGAACCGCACCCCAAAAUGGUGAUGAAGGAGGAGGAGAAAGAUGGGGACCAGAUCCCCAAAAUGGUGAUGAAGGAGGGAAAGGGACCAAACCCCAAAAUGGCUCUGAAUGAGGGAAAGGGACCAAACCCCAAAAUGGCUCUGAAGGAGGGAAAGGGACCAGACCCCAAAAUGGCUCUGAAGGAGGGGAAAGGGACCAGACCCCAAAAUGGCUCUGAAGGAGGGAAAGGGACCAGACCCCAAAAUGGUUCUGAAGGAGGAAGAGGGACCAGACCCCAAAAUGGCCCCAGAGAAGGAGGAAGAGGAGGAAGGCAAUAAGUGCUGUACACAAAUGUGGGGAUGAGACAUCCCCCAAAAUGCUGGAGGAAGAGGAGGAGGAAGGCACAGAAAGCUGUGUGUUGUGGAAUGGGGAUCACUGCCCUGAAAUGGCCGUGGAGGAAGAUGGGGAGCAGAGCCUGAAACGAGGAGGAAGAUGAGGAAGAUGGGGAGCAGAGCCUGAAACGAGGAGGAAGAUGGGGAGCAGAGCCUGAAACGAGGAGGA
rnacentral:lncRNA from 1 species